CCAGGCUGGAGUGCAAUGGUGCGAUCUCAGCUCACCGCAACCUCUGCCUCCUGGGUUCACAUGAUUCUCCUGCCUCAGCCUCCCGAGUAGCUGGGAUUACAAGCAUGCACCACCAUGCCCGGCUAAUUUUGUAUUUUUAGUAGAGACGGGGUUUCUCCAUGUUGGUCAGGUUGGUCUCGAACUCCCAACCUCAGGUGAUCGGCCCGCCUUGGUAUGCUGCAAUUCCCUAAGAUUUCAUCUCCAUCCCAGCCAAUCGGCAGUGGGCACCCAUUGCAUAGCCACCCCUACUUCUUCCCUCAAACUACCUCUGAAAAACCCCUAAACCAGGAACCUUCCAGGAGGUUAGUUUGAGUGAUAACUCCGUCUCCCACGUGGUGUUACUGGCCUCACAUUAAUUACGCUCUUUAGUUACUGCGAUGCUGUGAAUUGAUUUUGUUUCUGCAGAGGGCGGGAAGAACCCACUGGGCGGUUACAAUAGGUGAGAACAAGGCUUGGACUCAGUUCCAUUAAUAUACGAGUCCAGGGCCAGUACAUUCUCCACCUUGAUUGACCCAGUGGUGUUGCCUGAAAUUUUAGUUGCACCAUGAGAGAGGUGAAGUAAAUACAAGAAAUCACUUUCUGGAAACAUAUUAUUCUCAAAGAACAUUUGGAGCAAGGCAUUGAGGGAAGGGAGAUAUGAAUGAGACAAAAUUCUGCAGGUGGGGGCGGUGGACCUCAGAGAAGCCUAGAGCCCCUGGGACUGACUAUUCUCCUUUAUUAUGGGGGAAGGGGUAGAAGACAAUCCCCUUAAGCAGUGACAAAACACUUCUUUGUGCCACCUGUAACACUCAGCCCCAGUCAUGGACAGACGGCAACCGUGGUGGUCCUAGCGUCUGGCAGAACAAAAGGACCCAGAAUUCCGAGUCAGCCCAUCCUGGGAAGGCAUCCCAGCUCAACCACCUCUGAGCCAGUCGCUUAAGCCCUCUGAGCCUCACUUUGCCAUCUCUGUGAAAUGGAGCAACGCCAGCCCUGCCUCAUCAUCUGAGAUAAUGCCCGUGGCCAGCCUGGUACACUGUGAGAGGCCCACACAUACCAGCCUGCCUCUCCGCUUUGCUCAGCUGAGCCAGGAGGCUGACAUUUUCAGAAAAGUCUUGCCAAAGCACAAGGAGAAGGGCAGAAAGGGAACAAACAGAGAAAAUACCAUCCUUUCUCAAGGCUCUUUAGUUGCAAGGAAUAAAAUCCACUCAAAAUAUCUGGGACAAAAGUAGUAGCUUCCCAAGAGAACAGAGCAUCUCAGGGAACAUAGGCCCGGGUCAGAACUGUUUCUGGUGGAGUCUCCAUGCCUCUCUGGAACUCCAAUGCCUUGCUUCCCCACCCCUUCCUGUGUCGGGGCUUCCGGCUCCUCUCUGCAAACUGGCGUUUCCUGCUUCUCUAUGGGGCCACACACGUGCGUGGCACGGCUCCCUGUAGUUCAAGCCUUUAUUCAAGUGCUCAGGGGUCCGAACAGCAUCAUUCCGAAGUCUGAUUGGCCCAGCUUACUGUCAGGUAUACAUCCUGAGCCAAUCAGACGGGCCGGAGGUGGGCUCACUGAGUGGUUGCGGGGGCUAUGUCCAGGGUAAGGGCAGUGCUUACGUGCAGUGACUGGCCUCCAAGGUGGUUCCCCACAACCCUGUCUCUUGGUAUUUGUGCCCUUAUGUGCCCCCCAGCCUUGCAUGUGGGCUGGCCCAGGGACUCACUGCUAAUGAAUAGCACCUUGCAAAAGGGAUGGGAUGUCACUUCCAAGAGGAGGUUAGAAAAGCCCCGUGGCUUCCCUCUUGCUGGCCUUCUCCUAUCUCUCUUGCUUUCUCUCCUGCUCACUUGGCAGAGCCAGCUGCCAUGUCAGGCGCUUUGCAUUAAGAUCC
ensembl:lncRNA